CAGCCGCCGCGGUAAUACGUAGGGUGCGAGCGUUAAUCGGAAUUACUGGGCGUAAGGCGUGCGCAGGCGGUUCGUUAAGACAGAUGUGAAAUCCCCGGGCUUAACCUGGGAACUGCAUUUGUGACUGGCGAGCUAGAGUAUGGCAGAGGGGGGUAGAAUUCCACGUGUAGCAGUGAAAUGCGUAGAGAUGUGGAGGAAUACCGAUGGCGAAGGCAGCCCCCUGGGCCAAUACUGACGCUCAUGCACGAAAGCGUGGGGAGCAAACAGGAUUAGAUACCCCCGUAGUCCCUGUCUCUUAUAC
rnacentral:rRNA from 1 species